GAUGAACGCUGGCGGCGUGCUUAACACAUGCAAGUCGAACGGAAAGGCUCCUGCUUGCAGGGGUACUCGAGUGGCGAACGGGUGAGUAACACGUGGGUGAUCUGCCCUGCACUUCGGGAUAAGCCUGGGAAACUGGGUCUAAUACCGGAUAGGACGAUGGUUUGGAUGCCAUUGUGGAAAGUUUUUCGGUGUGGGAUGGGCUCGCGGCCUAUCAGCUUGUUGGUGGGGUAAUGGCCUACCAAGGCGUCGACGGGUAGCCGGCCUGAGAGGGUGUACGGCCACAUUGGGACUGAGAUACGGCCCAGACUCGUACGGGAGGCAGCAGUGGGGAAUAUUGCACAAUGGGCGCGAGUCUGAUGCAGCGACGCUGCGUGGGGGAUGACGGCCUUCGGGUUGUAAACUCCUUUCGCUAGGGACGAAGCGCAAGUGACGGUACCUGGAGAAGAAGCACCGGCUAACUACGUG
rnacentral:rRNA from 1 species